rnacentral:rRNA from 1 species
GAUGAACGCUGGCGGCGUGCCUAAUACAUGCAAGUCGAGCGAACGGACGAGAAGCUUGCUUCUCUGAUGUUAGCGGCGGACGGGUGAGUAACACGUGGAUAACCUACCUAUAAGACUGGGAUAACUUCGGGAAACCGUAGCUAAUACCGGAUAAUAUUUUGAACCGCAUGGUUCAAAAGUGAAAGACGGUCUUGCUGUCACUUAUAGAUGGAUCCGCGCUGCAUUAGCUAGUUGGUAAGGUAACGGCUUACCAAGGCAACGAUGCAUAGCCGACCGGAGAGGGUGAUCGGCGACCCUGGAACUGAAACACGGACCAGACUACUGAGGGAGGCAGCAGUAGGGUACGUUCCGCAGUGGUCGAAAACCUGACGGAGCGACGGCGCGUGAGUGAUAGAAGUCUUCGGAUCGUAAAACUCUGUUAUUAGGGAAGAACAUAUGUGGAAGUAACUGUGCACAGCUUGACGGUACCUGAUCAAGAAGCAACGGCUAACUACGUG